UACGGAGGGUGCAAGCGUUAAUCGGAAUUACUGGGCGUAAAGCGCACGCAGGUGGCUGAGUCAGUCGAUUGUGAAAGCCCUGGGCUUAACCUGGGAAUUGCAGUCGAUACUACUCAGCUAGAGUAUGGGAGAGGGCAGUGGAAUUCCCGGUGUAGCGGUGAAAUGCGUAGAUAUCGGGAGGAACAGCAGUGGCGAAGGCGGCUGCCUGGCCCAAUACUGACACUCAGGUGCGACAGCGUGGGGAGCAAACAGG
rnacentral:rRNA from 1 species